UUCCGGUUGAUCCUGCCGGACCUGACUGCUAUCGGAUUGAUACUAAGCCAUGUGAGUCAUUGUAGCAAUACAAGGCAGACUGCUCAGUAACACGUAGCUAACCUACCCUUGGGACGGGUACAACCCCGGGAAACUGAGGUUAAUACCCGAUAGGUGUGAAUUCCUGGAAUGGUUUCACGCCCAAAUGUAAAUGCAUCCACGUUUGUGUGCACGCCCAAGGAUGGGGCUGCGGCCGAUCAGGCAGUUGGUGAGGUAACGGCUCACCAAACCUUUGACCGGUACGGGCCAUGAGAGUGGUAGCCCGGAGAUGGGCACUGAGACAAGGGCCCAGGCCCUACGGGGCGCAGCAGGCGCGAAACCUCCACAAUUCACGAAAGUGAGAUGGGGUUACCUCGAGUGCCGCCUGAUGAAGGCGGCUUUUCCAUUGUGUAAUGAGCCGUGGGAAUAAGAGGGGGGCAAGACUGGUGUCAGCCGCCGCGGUAACACCAGCCCCCUGAGUGGUAAGGACGAUUAUUUGGCCUAAAGCGUUCGUAGCCGGCUUAUCAAGUCUUUUGUUAAAUCCAACGAUUCAAUCGUUGGGCCGCAAAAGAUACUGUUAUGCUAGAGGACGGGAGAGGUCGACGGUAGUCCAGGGGUAGGGGUGAAAUCCUAUAAUCCUUGGAGGACCACCAGUGGCGAAGGCGGUCGACUAGAACGUGCCUGACGGUGAGGGACGAAAGCUGGGGGAGCGAACCGGAUUAGAUACCCGGGUAGUCCCAGCUGUAAACGAUGCGGGCUAGGUGUUGGGGCAGCCACGAGCUGCUCCAGUGCCGCAGAGAAGUUGUUAAGCCCGCCGCCUGGGGAGUACGGCCGCAAGGCUGAACUUAAAGGAAUUGGCGGGGGAGCACCACAAGGGGUGAAGGCUGCGGUUUAAUUGAGUCACGCCGGA
rnacentral:rRNA from 1 species